rnacentral:rRNA from 1 species
AUGUUUGUUAGGCAUAAAGAGAAAGAUAAUUUUCAUGUGAGGCUGCAAGUUGAUGUGCUUGAGCAGGCAUUUGGACCUAGGAUGACGGGUGCAACAUCUCGGGGAGAACCAAGUCGUCGUAAUGGCAUCUCUAGCCAGAAUAGUUCAGUUGGUGCACGGCGACGUGGUGGCUCGACAAGUGUGGGCAACAGCAGUAGGGUCCCCCUUGAAGUGGAGCAUGAUGACUACAAUUCUGGGGUUGAUGAAGAGAAGCUAUAUUAUGAUGUUAUUCAGAAUUUACGACGGGCACCUCGGGCUGAUAACCAAGAUGAGGCUCACAAUGCAGUCCGUGUGGAUGAUGACGCGGUGGGUGAGGACGAAGACCUUGCAGCUGUUGAAUGGGACCCUUUGAACCCUAAUUUGGAAGAAGGUAUAGUUUUUGCAUCCAUGAAUGAGUGUAGAAAUGCACUUCUGACAUACUGCAUCAAGGUAGAAUGUACUUUCAAAGUUUACAAGAGCGAUCAAGUACGUUACAGAGUGCACUGUCCGACUGAGGGUUGUCCAUGGAGGCUGCUCGCAUCUAAAAUGUGA